GGUUGUGGUCCAGAGGUAGAGCGCUUGCCUACCAUGCAUGAGGCACUGAGUUUAAUUCUCAGCACCA
rnacentral:tRNA from 1 species